rnacentral:rRNA from 1 species
CGGCAACAGCUCAAAUUUGAAAUCUGGAGCCUUCGGCUUCCGAGUUGUAAUUUGUAGAGGAUGUUUCUGGCGACGUGCCUUCCGAGUUCCCUGGAACGGGACGCCAUAGAGGGUGAGAGCCCCGUACGGUUGGAUGCCUAGCCUCUGUGAAACUCCUUCGAC